AUUCUAUCAGGUUUACACUCAAUUUUUUAUUUGCUAUCUCUACAUCAUAAGCCCUAUAGACAACUUCUUCCAAUAGUGUUACACUCCCAGCAGUAGAUACAAAUAACAUUGAAUCAAGUUUAUCAGGUAAUACAUUAAAUUUGGAUGCAAAAAAGGUGAAACAAAUGAAUGCGAUGCACUAGUGUCAAAAAAAAACAUGAACAUGAUGGUUACAGAUAGUGUACAUACCUUGUACCACGUCCGGAUCGGCGUCGGCAUCCUGCUGGGUGAGGUUGUAAGUCCUGCCCUGAAAUAGGAGGUCUUCCCUGAUUCUGGUUCCUUGGGCACUCUCUCGCAUAGUGUUGGCACUACCACAUAUGCGACAAGU
rnacentral:lncRNA from 1 species